rnacentral:sRNA from 1 species
AUUUUGCGUUAGGGAUAGAAAUGGAAAGCUUUUGCGAUGAUACUGCAACGAGGAAGCGACCAAUGGAAGCUUCCUAAGUGCUUGUAUUACUUGGUUUUUAUUGCAAAACUUGUAAUGAAUAGCCCGUAAUACG